rnacentral:lncRNA from 1 species
UUUCCCCCCAGUCCAUAGUUGUCUUUUCAUUUUGUUUAUGCAAAAGCUUAUAAGUCUGAUUAAGUCUCAUUUGUUUAUUUUCGCUUUUAUUUCUAUUGCCUUUGGAGGCUGACCUAAGAAAACAUUGAUAUGAUUUAUCAGAGAAUGUCUUGCCUAUGUUCUCUUGUAGGAGUUUUAUGGUGUCAUGUCUUAUAUUUAAGUUUUUAAGCCAUUUUGAGUUUAUUUUUGUGUAUAGUGUUAGCGUGUAUUCUAAAUUCAUUGAUUUACAUGCAGCUGUCCAACUUUCCCAGCACUGCUUGCUGAAGAGACUGUCUUUAAGGAAGAUAGCUUUGAAGGGGAUGUAGGCAAGGCUUACAUCAUAUCCUGGGCAUUGUAGAGGGAGCCCUGAUUUGGUAAGAAAUAUCGGGACAGCAGUUGGCUAGGAGUAAGGCAAAAGUAGUUUCUAAUCCAUGGUGCCUUAGGAAAAAGGUUGACCUAAAGAAGUUUAACCUGUGAUGAAAAAAAACAUUAGAGGAACCCAUAUUAUCUGUUCACCUGAAAUAUCAGUGGUCCUGAUAAUACGUUGUCAGAGGUCAUCACAGGUGCCAUCUUUCUGAAUGUUUAUCCCCCACCAACCACAGAUUGAGUUGCCCCCUUCCUGGUCACUUUCCCCCUCCAUCCCAUGUUUUCACAUCCCCUGAUUUUGAACCUGGAAAUAGUUCUAAUACUAGAUGCCUUACAAAGGCAGAUGAAAUUUGAAAUAACUGGGUAACUAGAAAGAAAUGCCAAUGCUUCUUUCUUGGAAUGAGGGUUGGCAAGAUAGAAGCUGAUCAAAUAGAUAGGUGUGUUUCAUGAAGGGCUUUUUGCUAUUUUGUCCUUUUCUGGAUAAGUACCGCUGGCUAGAGAGAAUGCAAAACUUUGUGGAACUGUAAUACCUACAGCUGUUCUAAUAGUUCUUAGAAUCCUUUGACCAAAGGGGAAAAGAUGCACUGAAAGUCUGAGAGAAUGUCAUUGCAAUGAAUAUAUAUCUUUCUAUUGAACAUAGAAUAUUAAAAAAAAGGAAUACAAAUUAUUGGUUAGAAGGCAGUUGUAUAAUUUUACAACUGGAUUCUUAGGUAAAACUAUGGUAAAUUGAAUAUACUUCUGAAAAGAGCUCUCAAAAACACUUUGUGUUAUGUCGAUAUUGGUAAGUUUUGGAAAAGGAAAGGCAGAGAUGAUGCUGUACAUGGCUAUUAUUGAUAGGGUUCCAAAACCAAGUGAUGCUGUAAGGCAGAGUCUUGAUGUACUGACGUGUGCCUGGAAGUUGCAGUGGAGGGAAGUGUUGAAGGGGUAUUGAAGUCUCUAGGGAAGAAGGCUCAGUGUGGAGCCAGCUUUGCCCAGUGUUGCUGACUACCCAAGCAACGUGUUGAGGAAGCAAGAGCCUGGGUUUGGAGCCACUAGACCUGAGUCUAUGUUCUAAGUCAGUGCCUCUCAUUUCUGUGACUCUGUUUCUUCACCCAUAAAAUCUUCAUCCUCGUAGUGCAUACCUCUGUAGUAAAGAUGAAAUGGGAUAUUGAGGGGGAAGAGCCUUUCAAACUACAAAGUAUUAUGCAAAAUUUAUUCUCAUUUUCUAGCUAUCUACUUUGGAUUUAACUUUAGUACAUUAUAUAUAUAUAUAUAUAUAGUCUCUCGUUUGAGUUUUUUUUUAAUUUCAUAGGAGAAUUUUUUUUUUUUUGGCUGUGGUAUGCAGUGGCUUGAUGUAGGAUCUCAGUUCCAAUAUCAAGGAUUGAACCUGGGCUGCAGCAGUGAAAGUGCUGAGUCCUAACCAUUAGACUACCAGGGAACUCCAGAUUAUUGUGUUUCUGUCUUCCUGCUCAGAAUCCCGGAUUACUGAACCUUUGAGAGAUCUCCAGAAGCCCCAGAGGCCUCAUAUAAAUUACCAGGCAGCAGAGUGAAAUCUGGUAUGACCCUGAGUCCAUUGAAGGGGUGUUCAGAAAUGCAGGUUCAACAGCGCUAUUUGCAGUCAUUCCACAUGACGAUGCCAGCCUGAAAUCCCCAACCGUGGUCCAAUGGGAUGCUUGCUGAAAUAUAUAGUUAAUAGGAGGAGGAGAUUGGAUUAUAAAUCUUUAGAAGUAAGCCUUAUGAGAUAAUAUCUGAUGCAGGAACCUCAAGGGAAACUAAAUUCUUUAAUCGAUUGAAAACCUGCCUUGCAAAAGCUUUUAAACAUUCAAACACCACCGUAUAAAUCAAGUUAGAAAUAUCCCACCAAGGAAUAAAGGAGUUCCUGCCAUGUAAAAUAUUAAUUUAUCUUUUCAAGGCAGAACAAACACUUCAUUUAGAAGAACGUUGGCUAGGCAGUGGUGGAAAAAGCAGAAAAUGUAGAAUAAACUCAUUGUGUUGACCUUGGAUGCCCACUUAAAUGUCUUGGGUCUUUGGGCUUUUUCUGUUGCUGAAAAACUAAGGUCUUUUAAUGCUAAAACAUGGUUCCAGCAUAUUUUACUGGAAGUUGUUCUGUGUUUGAUCCCAUAUUCCAGGGCAAUUAUUCCCAACUAUGUAUUAGAAAAUGAUCUGCAAUUCAGCAGUUGACUUCAGCCUGGAAUUUGUGCUCCUGGAAUGGUAAAGGAGAGUAACAUUGGAUUUUAAAAUACCAUUGCUCUGUAAAAACAACUAUGAAUGAAGCAUAAAAGGGCAAAUAUCUAGCACAUGGCCAUUCCUUCAUUUGCUACAAUAUACAUGCAUCAGGGGUAACACUAAAGCCAGCCUGGAAGACUCCCAGAAAGGAAACUAUAUGAUUAGCCAAGUUGAAACCUGAUUUGCAUCUAAAAAAUGUAGGGUAUGCUCGUUUAUGUGCAAAUGUAAUGGAAAAAGGCUGUAGGUAAAGUAGCUAAAGCCUAAACAAAAUAAACACUUAAUUUUCUUUUAUUGUAUCCUGUGACUAUUAAUAAUAUUAUGGUACCAAGUCAGAAACAUUAAGCCAAGCAGGGGAGCAAUAAAUGUUUCUAGACUGUUGAUAUUAGCAACUAAUCGCUCCAGAGUUCACAUAAAAUGUGGAUGGAAGUACAAAGAAGAUAGUUGAUGAAGUCAGCAAUGGCAGGAACUCUUCACAGGUGAAAGCAAUAACUAGAGGGCUCGCAGGACAGGGGCAGGGCCUGGAGAGGCAAUCAGAGAUCAAGCAAGGCCUUGGAAAAUCAUUGCUUUUUAAACGUGUCGGUACCUAUUGACAUGAGGAUAUUCUUAGGCUUAUAAAGUUCUUGAUCUUAAUCUCAGCUAACAAUACUGUUUGGGAAUUUGCAGAACUCUAUCUAUAUCAUUUUAUAAUGGUCAUGACUCACUGAUACAGGCAAGGUGGCUUAGGGUUUUUCUUAUCUUAAAGAGGAAGAAAUCAGCGUUGUGAGUAUGGUCAGAGGACAGGUAAGACUCAGGAGUAAAACUCUAGUCUUGUGAUUCCAGCUCUCAUGUUCUUUGAAUGAUCUUCCUUAAAUCAUUAUAUAUAGAGAGAGAUAAAUAUAGAGAGAUAUAUAACACAUAUAUGUGUGUGUAUAAUAAUAUAUAUUAAAAUAUAUACACAUUUAAUAUAUAAUGUAUGUAUGUUUGUGUAUAUAUAUACUUAAACAUUCAUAUAUGUGUGUGUGCAUAUGUAUGCAUGUAUAUAUGUCAUGUAAAAUGGUAUUUGGGGCUUUCAUCUCUAAUGGUAUGUUAGACACAGACAACUCCAAUCGUCCCAGCAAGAAAAUCAAAAUUCUGGUUAGAGUGUAAAACAGACAAAGCUAAUAAUUUAAAAAUGGAUUACACAGCUGGUACAAAAGCCAGGAUUUUAUAGAGGCCAACAUUUAAAUAACAACACAGAUUUAGGAGAGAAGAAUAUACCCAGACACUGGAGGGUAUCUGCGGAUCCAUGAGCUUCCACUCUGCUGACUUCACUGUGUGACAUGACCUGCAGAGAAAGCUCAGGGAACUCAAGGUGAGACCCCCAAGGACUGUGAUCUCAGAGUGAUCAGUGCUAGAAGUAGGUACACAGCCCCCAGCAGGGAUGCUAGCAGGACUUAAACCAUUUAAUUAAACAUUGUUUAGGAUCGGUGGGCAAAAGCAAAUAUUCCUUCCCUGGAAGAAUGCAACUUCGACCUAGGCCUCCAAACAUACCCACAAAAAAUAUCCUGUAGAACAUAAAUUCACAGUCAAAAAUCACAAAACACAAAGGGAGAUGUGGCAUGAUAAAGGAAAACCAGAAAAUAGCAGACCUCUGGAGAUUUUGAUGCCAGAUAUAUUAGGCACAUAAUAUUAAAUCUUUAUGUUUCAGGUUGUGGUUGAGAUGGCUAGUUAUUCAUAAAAUUAAUUUUUACCAGUUGCAUAGGAAUAGAAGUGUAGCGUCAUGACUGCUUAGUUGGACUACAUUUCCCCGGUUUCCUUUGCAAUCAGAUGUGCACUAUAGCAACUAGUUUCUCACAGAUAGAAUGUGCAUGGCAGUGAUACAUGUCACUGUCCCCUCUUGCCCUUUCACACUUGGCUGGAGCCCAGAUGAAGCCCAGAUGAGCCAAAACCCAGAUUUCACUGUUCACAUGUUGACAGCAUCCUCAGGGAUGGAGGACCAAUGGCUUGGAUGGGACCUGGCUCUCUGAAUGGGCAACAGAAAGACCUGGGUCAUUCACACUGAAACCAGGUGACAGAAACCUCUGAGUUCUUUGUCUCAGUAUCAUAUUGCCAAACCUCUAGCUUUAAGCUUAAUAAUGCAUAUCUGCUAAAAACAAAAUAGUAGACAAGCUUGAACAUACAAGCCAAACCAAAACUACCAAAUAAAUAAAUAAAAGAUCAAGGAGAGAUAUUUGAAAAGGAAUGAAAUACAACUUUCAGAAAAAAAAAAUCAUUCAAAUUAGAAACAUAAAAUAUAGGUAAAUGGAAAAAGUAUCCAUAUUUCCAAAGAUAGAUAAUGUUAAAUUUGGAGACGCCUCCUCCAUGAAUAUUACCAAAGACAAAGAUGCAUUCUUUUGAACCACUCCAUUCACUGACCUCAUUCCAUUUCCAUUGGGCUGCAGUAAAAUGUAGUGCAUUGUGUCACUUGUGUAGAAAGAACAUGGUUUGGAUUUUCUAUGAACCAACAGAAGACUCACUUAAACCCCCGCUUUUAUUUUUCAUUUUUUAAAGUUUUAUUGAAUUCCCUGUGCUGUACAGUAAGACCUCAUUGCUUAUCCAUUAUAAAUGUAAUAGUUUGCUCUACCAACCCCAAAUUCCCAAUUCAUUCUCCCCUCUCUCACCUCCCUCUUGACAACCACAGGUCUGUUGAGUCUGUCUCUGUGAGUCUAUUUCUAUUUUGUAGAUAGGUUCAUUUGUUACGUAUUUCGAGGUCCACAUAGAAGUGUUGUCAUAUGGUAUUUGUCUUUCUCUUUCAGACUUACUUCACUUAGUAUGAGAAUCUCUAGUCACAUCCAUGUUGCUGCAAAUGGCAUUAUUUUGUUAUUUUUUAUGGCUGAGUAGUAUUCCGUUGUAUGUAUAUACCACAUCUUUUUAAUCCAUUCAUCUGUUGAUGGACAUUUAGAUUGUUUCAUGUCUUGAUUGUCGUAAAUACUGCUGCAAUAAACAUAGGGGUGCAUGUUUCUUUUUGAAGACCCCUCCUUUUUUUUUUAGCUUCUAUUAUUUAUUCUAGGAUUCUCAGAGAUGUACUAUAAUUUAUUUCAAUAAACUCUUUCCUGAGUAUCUAGUUGGCGUUUAAAAGAUAGAGGCCUAGAGUUCCUGUUGUGGCACAGUGGAAAUGAAUCUGACUAGAAACCAUGAGGUUGUGGGUUCCAUCCCUGGCCUUUCUCAGUGGGUUAAGGAUCUGGUGUUGCUGUGAGCUGUGGCGUAGGUCACAAAUGUGGUUUGAAUCCUGUGUUGCUGUGGCUGUGGUGUAGGCCAGCAGCUAUAUCUCCCAUUCAACCCCUAGCCUGGGAACCUCCACAUGCCACUGGUAUGGAUGAAAAAAGAAGCUCCCUCCUUUUAAAACUUAUUUGGAAAAAUAGUUUUUAAUAGAUCUUUUUUUACUAUCACAAAAGAGAUAGUUUUCUUUUUCUCUUAAAAAUAUAAACAAUUUAGCUUAAAUAUUAUAAAUUCUGUAUUUUGGCUUAAUUUUGACAUUUUAUUGAAACUUUAAAUAUUAGCAAUUUUAUAAGGGAGAUAUUUUAAGUAGAAAAAUAUCUAUCUACAAGAGAGGGUUGGUUUCUUUACCUUCAUGAAAAAAUUUUUUCUCAAGGUUAAACUUCUUAGCUAUUAUUAAUUUAUUUGUGUAGUAUUUUUUUGGCUAAAAGAAAAAUAUUGUAUGUUGUAGUUUAGGGUUUGCACAUGACAAUUCUAGUUAAAAGUUAAAUGACUUGGACUUCCCGUGUGGCUCACAACAUAACUACUCGGCGUUGCUUCUACAGUGGCUGUGGCUCGACCCCUGGCCUGGGAACUUCCAUAUGCCACAAGUGCGGCCACUUCUUUAAAAAAAAAAAAAA